AGCCGCCUACACUCUUACUUUCUCUCAUUUUCUCAUCUUUCCCAUCUGAGCACCUAGUUUCCUCCGAUGACUUCCUCCGAUGACAAUAGCCACCGUAGAUAAGGACAUUGCUGCUACUUCCCUUCAAAGUCCUCUUUCAUCAAAAUCGUUGUUGCUGAGUCGAAGCUUUGGGAGGACGGAGAUCCGUCUCUCUCACGUUGAACUCGACCCCUCUCUCACGGUGAACUGGACUCACUAUCUCAGCAUCUCUCUUAGGUAUUCUUCGAUUGGAGUGUUAAGUGGUGGAUUUGAGCAGUUGUUGGCAAAUUGAAAUGGCUGGUGACAGAUUGUAGGCUGCAACAGUUGGUGAUGAAUUGAGCGGCUUUACAAAUUUGCUUGUUGAGGUAUUCCAACGAUUUUCCCUAAUGAAAAUCUCCAAAUCUGAAGGAUUAGUGAUGAGAUGUCUUGUUUGAGGUAGUUAUUCUGAUAUGAGUAUAGCUAUUUGUUUGUUAGUUUGUAUUUUGAGUUUAAUUUUGGGAGAUUUAAGUGUGGUUUAGUAUGGUUUUCCUUGCAAUUUCUUGUGUAGUUUCAAGAGCCUUAGAAAUAUAGAAUUGUUCUAACUCUAUUGUGUAUGAAUUUUAAUAGUUUUAUUGGGAAUAUAUUUGUUUGUUAGUUUGUAUUUUGAAUUUAAUUUUGGGAGAUUUAAGUGUGGUUUAGUCUAGUUUUCCUUGCAAUUUCUUGUGUAGUUUCAAGAGCCUUAGAAAUAUAGAAUUGUUCUAACUCUAUUGUGUAUGAAUUUUAAUAGUUUUAUUGGGAAUAUAUAGUUUUCUAGAGUUAAUAAUAUGCAUAUUUUUGUUACUCAAGCACUGCAUGAUGUUUCAUACUCCCAACAAGCUCAAGCUUCUGUUAGAUAGUUGCACUUUUGUUUUUCACGAGCCAAAUGGCUUUUAGAUUGUUUGGAGGCUUUGGAUAUUUCGGACUGGCUGGUGGAAUUGAGGUUUCCAGAUUGAUUAUUUUGAGGUAUUUUUGUAUGAUCACAAUGACUAAAUCCCCAAUAUUAUGAAGGAUUAAUGAUGUUCAUUAUUUUGAGGCAUAUUUUCUUUCAAUGUUUGUGUAUUUCCAUGUACUCUGGAUUUGUGGUUAUCAGAUUGAAUACUUUGAAUAUUUUUCUGAUAUUUAUAUUAGAUUUAGGAGUUUUUUGUUCUGCCAUAUUUGUUGUAUUUGGAUUUAUAUUGCUUUGAGGCUUUAGGUACCCUACUUUUGAUAUUGGUUUUAUAAGGUACAUUUGAGCUACUUUUAUCUGCCUUAAUUUUCUAGUAUAUUGUUGGCUAUGUUGAUCCUUGUUCUCUCAGUAAGCCGUCUUUGAUCUUGAGGCCCUUUGUUCUCUGUAAGUAAUUUUUUCUCUGUUUAUUGUUUAGAAUAUGUGUAGUUAGUAAUAUCUGUUUUGGAUUGCUUUGUUUGGAUUGAGGAUUUUGGAUUGCUUGGACGCAUUGAGGGUUUUGGAUUGCUUGGAGGCUAUGAAUUUUUCGGACUGGCUGGUGGAUUUGAGAUUUUCGGAUUGAGGUAUUUUGUAUGAUCACAAUGACUAAAUCCCCAAAAGUCUGAAGGAUUAGUGAUGUUUCAUUAAUCUGAGGCAUAUUUUUCCAUGUUUGUGUAUUUCCAUGUGUUUUGGAUUUUAGGUUUUCGAAUUGCAUAGUGUAUUGUUUAUAUAUUUUUUUAUAUUGAUAGAUUGCAUAGAAUAUUGUUUGUAUUUAUUUUUUAUAUGGUGUCUUAAUUGUUUUUAUAAUCUAAAAUAUUGAUGAUUCAAUGCACUCAUUUUUGUGCUAUUUUUGCUCUGUAAGUGUUCUAGUUAUUUUUUAUAUGGUGUCUUAAUUUAGUUUAUAAUAUGAAUGAUUGAUGAUUCAAUUCUCUAUUUUUUGUGCUAUUUUUGCUCUGUAAUUGCUCAAGUUAUUUUUACUCAAUUUUGUGUUGCUUUCUUUGUGCAUUAUUCUUUCAUUAUGAAGAUGUAAAAGUUUUGUUUGAUUUUUGAAACCUAGAUAUUAUAAUGUAUAAUCUCAUUGAAGUUCUUGAUGUCUUGUUGCUUGUUUCUUGUGAUAUCAUCAAUAAACUGAUACUUUGUUGCUAUAUUCAGAUAUGGAGUUUUUUUAUGUACUUUGUUCUCGAUAUUGAUAUUCAGAUUUAGGAUGUAGAUUAAUUUGAUAAGUUUACUGCAUUAGUGAAUCUGAUUCUUUGUUCAUGUACUCAGUUUUAGAUGUUUGGCUGGUUGGGUAAUUUGUUUCUAAUAUUUGUUUUCAUAUUUAGAUAUUUGGUUUCUGAUAAUGUUUAUAGAUUAUAUGGUUGCUAUAAUGUUUAAUUUUAAGUUGAGAUUAGUGACAUUACAACUUUUGCUCUUCAGUUGCAAUUUGAUUUUUUUUAGCAUGCUUUGCUUUCUGGUUUGUA